rnacentral:rRNA from 1 species
UACGUAGGGUGCAAGCGUUAAUCGGAAUUACUGGGCGUAAAGCGUGCGCAGGCGGUUUGUAAGUCUGUCGUGAAAGCCCCGGGCUCAACCUGGGAAUUGCGAUGGAGACUGCAAGGCUUGAAUCUGGCAGAGGGGGGUAGAAUUCCACGUGUAGCAGUGAAAUGCGUAGAGAUGUGGAGGAACACCGAUGGCGAAGGCAGCCCCCUGGGUCAAGAUUGACGCUCAUGCACGAAAGGCGUGGGGGAGCAAACAGG